rnacentral:snRNA from 3 species
GGCUUUGCGCAGUGGCAGUAUCAUAGCCAAUGAGGUUUAUCCGAGGCGCGAUUAUUGCUAAUUGAAAACCUUGGUCACAGUCAUGUCUAUUUUUUUUAAAGAUUUAUUUAUUUAUGUUAGAGAGAUAGCACA